AGCUAUGAUGAUAUUAAGCAUUUCCUGACUUGGUAUUGACACUCAAGGGUGUCGUUGAUCAAGGUGUGAUUGAUUUUUAAUCUUCUCUCUGAGCUG
ensembl:snoRNA small nucleolar RNA, C/D box 7